rnacentral:rRNA from 1 species
CGAACGGGUGAGUAACGCGUGAGGAACCUGCCUCAAAGAGGGGGACAACAGUUGGAAACGACUGCUAAUACCGCAUAAGCCCACGGUGCCGCAUGGCACAGAGGGAAAAGGAGCAAUCCGCUUUGAGAUGGCCUCGCGUCCGAUUAGCUAGUUGGUGAGGUAACGGCCCACCAAGGCAACGAUCGGUAGCCGGACUGAGAGGUUGAACGGCCACAUUGGGACUGAGACACGGCCCAA